rnacentral:lncRNA from 10 species
CAACCCUCCAGCUAAUAUGGCUCCAUGCUCUACUUCUGGAAAAGCUGAGUUCCUGCAGCCUUGUCCUACAUCACCCAAAAGAGCUGGAAAAGAAUGCAGCAGCUGUGUGGAUAAACCUACUUUGGGGUAGGAGCUGAGCCUCAGGCCUGUGACCGCUAGAAGCCAGACUUGAAGCCAGGAAAGAGGCCGCUCUUCCCAGGAGUUGGGAGAAUUUGACUUUGGUGUAGAAUCCAAAAGGCGGGAGAGAGGGUUCCAGGGAGGAGCUGGGGGUGGAGGCUAAAAAAGGAGCCCUGGUUGCCAAAGCCAGGAGGUGACUUUACAGGAGAGCAGCAGUGACUAAGCCAGGAAGUGACUUUGCGGGAGAGCAGCAGUGACUAAUUCAGGAGGUGACUUUGCGGAAGAGCAGCAGUGACUAAGCCAGGAGGUGACUUUGCGGGAAAGCUGCAGUGAUUGUGAAGUUGUUCACAUACAGGGGGUCAUGGGACACCCUCUACGAUCUCCCGUGGGAAAUCCUCAGUAAGCACUCUCACUCUAGCAAUAAGCACUCUCACUCUAGAAAGCCCUUUUGGUGCUUCCAGUCACAUUGCCUGGCCCACGCUCGGUGAGAGCUCACAUGCGCUUCUGGUCCUGGCCUUCUCAGACGCCACAGUAGCUGCCCACCCUGCAAAAGACCUGGAAGGGGAGGGGAGCCUGUGCCACAGCAGCCAGAGGAUGAAUGUCCUGUCAUGAACAAUUCCUGGGGGCACUAUGUACAUUUUGUAGAAGUCCUGCCAGAAUGGAACCUUGCUGUCUACAGCAGCGACCUUGAUAACACAUCAUUUGAUUUUUCCUCCUUUUGUGACUCAUGCUUCUGCUACCUCACCCUGGCUUCCUGAGAUCACCUCCCAGAUGAACUCCCUGCACUGAAUUCUGGUCUCAGUUUGCUUUGGGGAGAACUCAAAACUAAGACAUUCACCACUGUGUUUGUGUGAGCCAAAUCUUCACAUCAUGAGCAGGCGCUAUGUCUGCGUUCAGCCAGACAAACAGCAAACCAGCAACUGCCCACAUGAAUACAGUCCAUGGACAAGAGGAGAGUGAUAGCUGAGCGACUUUGGGACUUGCUGUCAAAGAUACCUGUCUCCCUCUCUUUCAUUCUCUUUACCUUUCCAUCAGACUAUGUGGCUGCCUCAUUCCCCCGUGUCCUGCAAGCAAGGAUAUUAACUAUACAAACAGUCCAGCUUAAAACAAAAUGGGCAGAAUAUUUGAAUAGACACUUCACAAAGGAAGACAAACAAAUUACCAAUAAGUGUGUUAACAAUUCUUAACAUCGUUAGUCAUCAGGGAAGUGGAAAUUAAUACCACAAGGAGAAAUCACUACACACUAAAGUGGCUAAAAUGAAAAAGAGUAAUGACAUCAAAUUCUAAUCUGAGUAUAGAGCAACUGUUGAUGGAAAUAUAAGAUGGUACAGCCACUUUGGAUAUAAUAAAAUGAUGCAACCACUUUGGAAAAGUUUGGCAGCUUUAUGUAAAACUAAGCAAAUACCUUUGGCCCAGCAAUUCCACUCAAGCAAUCCUUCCCUAAAGAAAUAAAAAUAUAUAUCCGCCAAAAGAUUUGUACAAGAAUGCUUCUAGCAGCUUUAUUUAUAAUAUAGGAUUCAAAUCCAGGUCUUUCUGGCUCCAAAGUUUGUUCUGUUAAGUAUCAUGAUAUAUUGGUUUAAAUAAAUGGGGUCAUAAUCUUUGGAAAACAGUUUAGAAGUUUUACAUAAAAAUCAAUAAAGGCCGGGCACAGUGGCUCAUGCGUGUAAUCCCAACGCUUUGGGAGGCUGAGGCAGGUGGAUUGCUUGAGUCCAGGAGUUCAAGACUAGCCUGGGGUUUAUGUGAGACCCUGUCUCUAUGAAAAAAAACUUAGCCAGGGAUAGUGGUGUGUGCCUGUGGUCCCAGCUACUCAGGAGGCUGAGGCAGGAGGAUUGCUUGAGCCCAGGAGGUCAAGGCUGCAGUGAGCCAUUAUAGUGCCACUGCAUUCCAGCCUGAGUGACAGAGCAAAACCCAGUCUCUUAAAAAAAUUAUUAAAAGUAAAUAAACAGAAACAAAACAGACAAAAACUCAAUAAACACUUUUGGCCUAGCAAUUCCACUCAAUAAGACUUCCCCAAAAGAAACGAAAACAUAUAACCCAAAAAAUUCCUGGAGGCACUCUGUAUGUUUUACAGAAGUCCUGCCAUAAUGGAACCUUGCUGUCUACAGCAGCAACCUUGAUAACACAUCAUUUGAUGGGAGACUGAGGCAGGUGGAUUGCUUGAGUCCAGGAGUUCAAGACUAGCCUGGGAUUUAUGUGAGACCCUGUCUCUACGAAAAAAAUAAAAAUAAAUAAUAUUACAAAAUAAUAUUCAUUGCAGCUUUAUUUAUAAUAGAAAAAAAAGAAAGCAGUCCAGAUAUAUACAAAGUAAGAGAAUAGGUGAACAAACUCUAGCAUAUUUAUAUAAACUAAUUAUACUCAGCAAUAAGAAGGAACAGUUACUCUCAUAUACAACAUGGGCAAAAUAUGAAAACAUGCUGAGUAAAAGGAGCCUUAUAAAAAGAGAGCAUACUGGAUUUCACUUACAUGAAGGUUCUAGGACAAAAUAAACUGAUCUAUAUACCUGAGAAAAUGAAAACAAAUGGUUGCCUUGUUGAGAGUGGGUAAGGACAAUGGUUAACUAGGAAAGGAUAAGGGAGAACUCUCUGGUGUGAAGAAAAUUUCUGUAUCUUGGGGUUUUGAGUUACAUAGCUUUCUGAGUUUGUCAAACCUCAUAGAAUGGUACAUUUAAAAUUUGUGCAUUUUAUUCUCUGAAUUUUACCUCAAAGAGAACAAAAAGAACUGUAAACAAAUAUUGAAUUCUAAUAAAUGAUACAUUAACUAGAUUACAUAUAUUGAUGAUUAAGUAUUUAGUAGGAAAUAUACUAAUGUCUACCAUAAAAUGCAUUAAGAGUGGAUUAAUGUGUGGCUAGAGAGGUGAUGAAUUAAAGGUAAAAUGUGAAUUAUACAGUCUACAAGUUGGUGUAUGGGCGCUCAC